CAAAACUUCACAUUUUCAGCACUCCAACAGUCUCCUCAUUUUGUCCCCAAAUCCAUCUCAUCCCGAAUACGAGUUCCACCUCCCUACAUAUUUUCGCCUCGGCGAUUCCUCCCCUAUCGCCAGUGCGCGCGCGAAAUUACCACUCCCGCGAAAAAAUGCCCGCGCAAGGGUCUGUUGGAGAUGGACGCGGGCGUAGGAAGCAUCCAUGUCGUUCGGCUUGAGCGACGGCGGCGGUACCGUCGAGGGAGGAUUGAGCGGCGGUGGAGGAGGCGGCCGAUGCGGCGGCGAGUACUGGCAGUUGGAGACGCAGCCUGCUGGAUCUGCUCCUCCGAAUGAGCCGGCGAACUCCCUCGGCGGCAGAUUCCCCCAAAUGCAGGUGAAUGACAGCGGAGAACUCGACCUCGACGGCGGAGGUACCUUGCGUGGAGGUGGAGUAGCUUUCUGUCCGUGUGUGCCUGGAAGUGCGAGAGUCGUCACCGAUCCGUUAGCGUCAUCCUUGUUCGGCGGCAGGGAGGAGUUCUGUGCAUCCUUCGACCUAGGGGCUAAAGUUCCAGGGGAUGGAUACUUUUCUAAUAUGAUACUGGAUGAAAACGUCGAAGGAGAUUUCGAUAUUAAUAGCAACACAUGUCCUGAUAAUCAGUCACAAUCAAGGCAAGUUGGUCCAACAGCCCCCACAUCGAGGCCAAACCAUAAGAGAUCAAAAAAUUUCAGUGAUCAAGAAGAUGAAGUUUUGGUUUCAGCGUGGUUGAAUAUUAGUAUGGAUCAUGUGGUAGGUAAAGAUCAAAAAGUUGGGAGGUAUUGGUCUCGUAUCUACGAGUACUUCAAUGAACAUAAACCAUGCCAAUCGCAACGUACCGUUAAUUCUCUAAUGCACCGAUGGGAGACAAUUCAGAAAUGUGUUAACAAGUUUUGUGGUUGUUUAUCAAGGAUUUAGUUAAGACGUCAAAGUGGUACUUCAAUGCAAGACAUGGUUGCCCAGGCAUGUGCGUUGUACAAGUCUGAAGAUGAACAUAAAAAAUCUUUUCAAUUCAUGCACUGCUAGAAUAAGCUAAGAAUUCAACCCAAAUGGCUUGCUAAAGUUGAUGAUUUGGCUACUGAUAAAACCUCAAACAAGAGACAGAAGACCACUCGUGUUGGUGAUGCUAAUGGAACACCACCAAAUGAAACUGAAGAAUGUCAAGUUCAAGUCAUAGAGAAUAACCAAUUGACAAGGCCAAAUGGAAAGAAAAAAGCUAAAGCAGCACUGCUACAAGAGAAGAAGAAAAGUGUGACUGCUGCAAUAGAACAUUUGUGGGUUGGAAAGAAAGAAAGUGAUGCUGAGAAAGAGCUGAAAAAGAGGAGAGGUUCAAUAAAGCGUUUGCACUUGAAGUCGAUCGAGUUAACACGGAAAAAGCACUUGUCGAGGUGAGGAAAGAGGAGAUUCAAUUACAGAAGCAAAGAGACGAAGAGAGGAUAAUGACUAUGGAUCUUAGUGCAGUGACAGAAGAACAAAAGACCUACUACAUGAGGUUGCGGGCUAAGAUUAUGGUCCAACUUUCUGAUGCUUAGGUACAAAUGAUUUGAUUUUCAAUUACUUAUUACUAGCGACUGCAAUUUACAUACACAAAUACAUGUCUACUUGCAGGUUCUAGGUGGUACAGUGUCACUGCUAGCAGUCCAAUUGUCUGAUAUAGUUGUGUUAGUGUCAAUGUUUUCUUUCGAGUUGUGUUCGAACAGACUUAAGUUUCUAUUUUAAUCCAAAAUUUGUGUCACUGCUACUAGGUUCUGUAUUGUUUUUUCUCCAAAAUUUGUGUUCGAACAGACAUAUGAAAUCGCAUAUAUUGAUCUGAUAUUUGUGUUCGUCCUUAUGAAAUCAGUCUUCCUUAUGCUUUAAUAGCGUAUAGAAAAGUGUCCAACAUUGAAGCCAUAUGAAAUCAGUCUUCCUUAUGAAAUCACAUAUAUGCUUUAGCAGUCUUCCUUAUGAAAUCAGUCUUCCUUAUGAAAUCAGUCUUCCUUAUGGCUUCAAUGUUUUAGCAGUCUCUUGGAGUUGCUCUUAGCUGCUGGUUUUUGGAUCUAAGAGCAACUCCAAGAGAUUUCAAAAGGACUGCUAUUAAAGCAUAAGGAAGACUGAUUUCAUAAGGACGAACACAAAUAUCAGAUCAAUAUAUGUGAUUUCAUAUGUCUGUUCGAACACAAAUUUUGGAGAAAAAACAAUACAGAACCUAGUAGCAGUGACACAAAUUUUGGAUUAAAACAGAAACUUAAGUCUGUUCGAACACAACUCGAAAGAAAACAUUGACACUAACACAACUAUAUCAGACAAUUGGACUGCUAGCAGUGACACUGUACCACCUGGA